ACGAUAGCUGGUUGCUCGUGAAAAGAAUAUUAGUUCCGCCUAAAAUUAAAGCCCCAACAUAUUAAUGCCUACUUUAGAGUAAUUCAAAUAGGGUACAGCUUAUUUGAAAAAGGACACAACCUAAGCUGGAGGGCAACUUGGCACUAUGCCUCAGACAAGUAGGCCUAAAAGCAGCCAUCUUUAAGAAUGCGUCAAAGCUUAACUAAUUCAACAUCGAUCCCACAAACGACACGCAGCCCCCUAUUAAUAACGAGCAAUUCUAUAUGCUAUAGAAAAUUUUAUGCUAAAACUAGUAACAAGAAGAAAUAACCCUUCUCUUUUAUACAAACAUAAACCGGCUUGGAUGACCCGCCGGCAAUUAACAGACAUGUAUGCUAAUGGCAACCCCCUCAAGAAAACCCCAUUUUCUCACACUGUUAACCUAACACAAGAGUAUAACAAGAAAGAUUAAAAGAGCAGGAAGGAACUCGGCAAACUAAAAUCCCGCCUGUUUACCAAAAACAUCGCCUCUUGACCAUAUAAGAGGUCCAGCCUGCCCAGUGAGCAAUUCAACGGCCGCGGUAUACUAACCGUGCGAAGGUAGCGCAAUCACUUGUUCCUUAAAUAGGGACCUGUAUGAACGGCAUCACGAGGAUUUAACUGUCUCCCUCCUCUAAUCUGUGAAACUAAUCUCCCUGUGAAAAAGCAGGGAUGAACCUAUAAGACGAGAAGACCCUAUGGAACUUCAAACAAAUGAUUACCGCUCCCCCACCCCCACCCCACUUUCCUGAAAACAGAUAUCAACGAGCACGCUAAUUAAGAGUUUUCGGUUGGGGUGACCACGGAGAAAACCUACCCUCCGUGAUGAACAUACUAAAUUGAUAACCACAAGCAACAGCUUUAAGCAUCAGUAAACUGACAUUAUUGACCCAAAUUUUUUGAUCAACGAACCAAGCUACCCUAGGGAUAACAGCGCAAUCUACUUUGAGAGUACAUAUCGACAAGUAGGCUUACGACCUCGAUGUUGGAUCAGGGUCCCCUGGUGGUGCAGCCGCUACUGAAGGUUCGUUUGUUCAACGAUUAAAAUCCUACGUGAUCUGAGUUCAGACCGGAGCAAUCCAGGUCGGUUUCUAUCUAUAAGAGGCCUCCCCUAGUACGAAAGGAUCGAGGAGGCAGGACCAAUGAAAAAUUCAAGUCCUACCGAACAACUUAUGCCUAAACCUCAACAAGACUAUUUGAC
rnacentral:rRNA from 1 species